AAAGGUGCAUGAGUGGUGUUUGGUUUGUUACGGGUGGUUGGCUCUUUGCUUGCGCAACAACUUCUACCUGGCAUACCUCUUCAGUCUUAUGUCAAUGCUUGUAUUGCAUUGAAUGCAUGAUGGGUUUCUUGUGUUGCAUGCCUAAUUAAUGGUAUCGCUUGACGAAUUGGUUUUCCUUUCGUCUUGCAUUGCCUAUGCGAUGUGAGAUGAACCUUGAAGCAGCCUUUGUGAUCCACUCUUUUGAUGCAUACGCAUUGAUUUUGUGGCCCAUUGAGUGUUGCUCGGUCUCAUGGAUAUGGAACCUGGUGUGGGCAUGGAAUCUUAAUGGUUCCUUGUUUGCCCAAGUUUAGCUUUUCUAAAACGAUUGUCUAUCAUGUGUUAACGUGGUAGACAACUUCGAAUAUGAAUGCUACCUGG
rnacentral:misc_RNA from 1 species